GUUUAUAUUGGAAAGUCCUGCUGGUGCUUUGCUUAAUUUCCGAAAUUACAGUCUGCUUUCACUAUCUGGAUGUCCUUUCAGAGAAGGAUAAAGACCGCCCAGCAUUGAUGUUUUUAUAUGCAUUCCUCUUCAUCCUGACUGCAGCAGCAUCCUUUCGGCACAGUUGUGAUUUACCAGGUACGGUAUCAUUUAAUUGAUGUGGUGACCAACACCUGAGGAACACACUCAGGAACCUCAAAGGAUGAGAGGUCAACAGCGGGUCCAAUAAGUGACAAUCUAUUUACCGGAGAGCAUCUCAUGGGCCGUCCAAGAGAACUCAGAGUAAUCUUCCUGAUACAUUCGUCUUUUAUUGGCAACAAUCAGUAACCCCUCACAUUGGUCACACCCAUAGAACGUAUUCAUCAGUUUCUUCUCAUCACGUUGAUAAUCAUUCAUCAUCAAACGCAACUCUCUCCUGAGUACCUCAUCUGGCCUUGAAGUGGCUGCGCCUGUCUGUACAAUUGGUAUUAGGACAGGAGUGAAAGAACAAUAGCAAGGGAUCUGAGGCUACCAGAUGAGCAGAAGACACAGGGGAACACACAGGAUUAUACCAGGGCGGUAGUGUAGUAUGAUGGGUAAGGGGUUGGUCUUGCAACCCAAAGGUCGCUGGUUCAAUUCCCAGGCUGGGCACUGUUGUUGUAGGGGAAAAUUAGUAAAAGAAAAAUAAUUCAAAAUGAAAUAAACAUUUAAUGAAUUGGUGUGUGUAAUAGUAAAAAAACAAUUCUCCCUCUGAAAAUCAAGAAGGGCAAGUAUUUUUGCUUUAAAUUUACACACUUACUAAAACAGAUCUCAUUGCUUUUCAGCUGUUCCUCAUAUCCUAGUAUAUGUGUUUGGUUCUGCUGUCCUAAGUGUCAUUAAUUCAGUUGCUCUAGCAACAGAAGUAAUUCUGAAAGCAGAAAAAGGGGAGCGAACUGUGGAUCUUCGGUUGAUCGUCUUCCCCCUUGAGUUUUUCUUUUUGGCCUUUUGGUUGGUUUUACAGAUGUAUGCAUACUGUAAGUAUCCUUUGGAAAUAUUGCUAACGUUUGGUACAUUUCAAAUAUGCCUGCCACUCACAUAUCACAUAAUUCCUUCAAACUGAAAAGAACAUUAUGCAUGUGUUAAUGCAAUAUUGUCGUAUUUAGCUAAAUGUUGACCAUCUUUGUUAAUUUCUGGAAUGUAGGUCUGUGCUGCAUUCAUAUGAGCAAAAUUUGGUGUGUAGUGUUAAGUCAUAGUUUUAAUUUGCUAGGGAAGCAGUCACAUACUGUACAUGUUGUUGGUGGGGGAAUGUUGUAAACAUAAAUGUUGUAAAAAUAAACAUUACCACCAGAGGGAAAAUGUAUUGCGAGAACAAGCCAGAAGAGCAAAAAUUUCAGGUUUUAUCUGCACUGCCAGUUUUUGAAGUAAUUUAUGGUUUUCAAAUUAAUACAAAACAAAAGCGACAAACUUGAAUCAGUGUAUAUGUGUGCAUCUCUUUGAAUAUUCAUAUAGUGCAACAUUCUCACAUAUAAUUGAUGUAUUUCAUGUAUAAUUUCACUGUCAUUUCUCUUUGUAGACACCACACGAACUUCAAGAGAUGGUACCUCUCUCUCUCCACCUGAGCAGAGCACAUAGACAGGGAACAGAUGACAGUCCCAAUGACAUGUAAAGGAUCCUUUUGUUGUCUACAAGAGCCAGAUUAUGUGUACUGUUAUGUUGUGUCCAUGAAAGGCUUGUCUUACUUAAUCUGCUUAGUUUCAGGUUUGAGGUGUGCCUAUGUGGGUGUGCCAAUCAGCUGUGAUUGUUGCUCAGAAACACCUGGUAAAAGCUCUUUAAAAAAGCUUGUCCUGCACCACUCUCUCUCUCUACCAGGAGGAUGCUGGAAGAGCGUGUGAAGGACAUAUUAGCUGUUGCUUGCUAUUGUAUGUGUGAUGCAUAGGUAUCUUGGUAGUCUUUUGUUUUGGCAAUUUGGGCAAGCACAAUUCCUUUUGAAGCAGCAAGUGGUGCUGUUGUAUCAUUGGGGAGUUUGGCCAUUUCUGUUUUUUUUUUAAAUGUUGCUUUUGACUUGGAAUUUAAUAUGGGGUUGUAUUUCUAGAUAACCAAAGACUGCAGUCAGUAUUGAGGACUUUAUUGGUGACCCUUCUGAAGAGCUGUUGGAACUGUUUACAAAGGAGUAGCUAUUGAAACUUGCUGAUCAUUACCAGGUUGAACUCACAAGAAGUGGAGAAGUGUCUUUUACAUUGUGAACAAGAAUAGCCUUGAGGGCAAAGGUAUUCUUGAGCUUAGAGUGGAGGAACCUCCUGCAGUAAUGCCAAAUUUUCCCCACCUCUCAAACUGAGAUUGAGUUGAGAAAAAAGGCUCUUGAAAAGCAGGAAGUUAGCUUGAAGGAAACAGUUGGAGCAUGAACUAGGGCUGAAAGAACUCCAGCUAAAACAUGAUUCUAGGACCUCAAGCUCUCUGCCUUCUAUGGUUUUUAAUCUCCCUCAGGGUUUGAUGUUGGUAGGCAUAUUAAAACAAUUCCUCCUUUUUG